rnacentral:rRNA from 1 species
AGAACGAACGCUGGCGGCAGGCUUAACACAUGCAAGUCGAGCGAGGACUUCGGUCCUAGCGGCGGACGGGUGAGUAACGCGUGGGAACGUGCCCCUUUCUUCGGAAUAGCCUCGGGAAACUGGGAGUAAUGCCGAAUACGUCCCGUAAGGGAGAAAGAUUUAUCGGAGAGGGAUCGGCCCGCGUUGGAUUAGGUAGUUGGUGGGGUAAUGGCCUACCAAGCCGACGAUCCAUAGCUGGUUUGAGAGGAUGAUCAGCCACACUGGGACUGAGACACGGCCCAGACUCCUACGGGAGGCAGCAGUGGGGAAUCUUGGACAAUGGGGGCAACCCUGAUCCAGCCAUGCCGCGUGAGCGAUGAAGGCCUUAGGGUUGUAAACCUCUUUCGCCAGGGACGAAGAGAAAUUGACGGUACCUGGAUAAGAAGCACCGGCCAACUACGUGCCAGCAGCCGC